GGCCUCACUCUCUCUCGACAGAGACUCAAAACCAAAACGCAAAGCUCCUCACUCUCUCAACAGCGUCUCUCCAAAACCAAAACCUCACUCUCCCAAACCCUCUCUCUUCUUCGACAAACCCCAAUCAAAGCUCUUUCUCUUCGACAAACCCCGACCAAAACCAUCUCUCCCUCUAGCUAGGUUAUUCGAUCUGGGAAAUAGCGAAGGGAAGAAAACCAACUGGGUAGCCUCUAGCGUUCUUCAGAUCUUUCGACGAUGGUGGUUGUUUCUUUCGUCGGUGGUUACAACUUUGAAAGCAAGUACAGAGGGUUCAGGGCUUACCAAUUUUGAAAGCAAACCUAGAGUUGAAUCGGAGAGAGAAGACGUCAGACUUCCUGGGCAUCAAAAUCGGAGUUCGAUUAAUUAGGGUUAGGAUUUGCGUCGAUUUUCGAGAGGCUUCAAGAUUUUCAUUGCGAUUAAGGUUGAGACCACUUUUUGGUAAGUUAUUGUAUUAUGAAAUUCAGCUAUGGGUAACUGGGAUUUGAAUUUUGUGGUUUCAGUAUUGGAUUCGAACAUUGGAGAUGUGGAUUUGGGAUUGAAGGAAAAAAUGUCAAAAUUGGGUCCAGGAAGGUAACUACGAAGGUUUCGAUGGUAUUCGAUAGAAAUUUUAGCUACUCCUUCUGCUUAGCACUGGAUUCCUUGCUGCUAGUUUGGUAUUUUCUGCCUUUUGGUUUACGUUUGCAGUCUAUUUUUGGAACAUUGAAGUUAAUUUGGGUUUUUAGUUGUGAUUCUGUCAAGAAAUUCAAUGGGUAUUAGGCUCAAGAGAAUGGUGGUCUCCGAUGAGAGCCUUGAGUUGCUUUCCAGGUAUGGCCAAGAAAUUAUGGCAGUGAAGGGGAGGGUCUUGCAAUAUCCACCAGUGUUCAGGCAUCGUUUGUAAGAGGUGUUCUUAAGAAAACUGGAGUUGAGCCACAAGUGGAGAGGAUUAGUAAAUACGAAAGUGCUGGUGAGCAACUUGCGCUACGACAAUGUCCGAAGAAAAUUGUGAGAUGCUGACAGCAUUGCUCGAUAACAUAUAUGGGAACUGGCUGGACAUAAUUUCUUCUACAAGAGGUGCUUUGAGAUUUGGAAGCAUUUAAGUAAUAUUGAUUCUCUUGCUUGACAUGCCCUGGUGGUGAUGCCCUUGCUUCUGAUUUGAUGUGGAGGGAAAUCAAACUUUUGGCUGCAUCAAAACCGGACAUCACAUCAAUGUCUGACGUGGCAGCAAGUGGAGGAUACUAUAUGGCAAUGGCAGCAGAUGCCAUUGUUGCAGAAAAUUUAACCUUAACUGGUUCCAUUGGAGUUGUCACAGGU